GACUGGGCGUAAAGCGCGCGUAGGUGGCUUGAUAAGCCGGUUGUGAAAGCCCCGGGCUCAACCUGGGAACGGCAUCCGGAACUGUCAGGCUAGAGUGCAGGAGAGGAAGGUAGAAUUCCCGGUGUAGCGGUGAAAUGCGUAGAGAUCGGGAGGAAUACCAGUGGCGAAGGCGGCCUUCUGGACUGACACUGACACUGAGGUGCGAAAGCGUGGGUAGCAAACAGGAUUAGAUACCCUGGUAGUCCACGCCGUAAACGAUGUCGACUAGCCGUUGGGUUCCUUGAGGACUUAGUGGCGCAGUUAACGCGAUAAGUCGACCGCCUGGGGAGUACGGCCGCAAGGUUAAAACUCAAAUGAAUUGACGGGGGCCCGCACAAGCGGUGGAGCAUGUGGUUUAAUUCGAUGCAACGCGAAGAACCUUACCUACCCUUGACAUCCUCGGAAGCCGGAAGAGAUUCCGGUGUGCCUUCGGGAGCCGAGAGACAGGUGCUGCAUGGCUGUCGUCAGCUCGUGUUGUGAAAUGUUGGGUUAAGUCCCGUAACGAGCGCAACCCCUGUCCCUAUUUGCCAGCACGUGAUGGUGGGAACUCUAGGGAGACUGCCGGUGACAAACCGGAGGAAGGUGGGGACGA
rnacentral:rRNA from 1 species